rnacentral:rRNA from 1 species
UACGUAGGGUGCGAGCGUUGUCCGGAAUUAUUGGGCGUAAAGAGCUUGUAGGCGGUUUGUCGCGUCUGCCGUGAAAGUCCGGGGCUCAACUCCGGAUCUGCGGUGGGUACGGGCAGACUAGAGUGAUGUAGGGGAGACUGGAAUUCCUGGUGUAGCGGUGAAAUGCGCAGAUAUCAGGAGGAACAGCCGGUGGCGAAGGCGGGUCUCUGGGCCGAUACUGACGCUGGAGGAGCGAAAGCGUGGGGAGCGAACAGG